rnacentral:rRNA from 1 species
GACGAACGCUGGCGGCGUGCUUAACACAUGCAAGUCGAACGGAAAGGCCCUGCUUUUGUGGGGUGCUCGAGUGGCGAACGGGUGAGUAACACGUGAGUAACCUGCCCUUGACUUUGGGAUAACUUCAUGAAACUGGGGCUAAUACCGGAUAGGAGCUCCUGCUGCAUGGUGGGGGUUGGAAAGUUUCGGCGGUUGGGGAUGGACUCGCGGCUUAUCAGCUUGUUGGUGGGGUAGUGUCUUACCAAGGCUUUGACGGGUAGCCGGCCUGAGAGGGUGACCGGCCACAUUGGGACUGAGAUACGGCCCAGACUACUACGGGAGGCAGCAGUGGGGAAUAUUGCACAAUGGGCGGAAGCCUGAUGCAGCAACGCCGCGUGCGGGAUGACGGCCUUCGGGUUGUAAACCGCUUUCGCCUGUGACGAAGCGUGAGUGACGGUAAUGGGUAAAGAAGCACCGGCUAACUACGUG